GUUCAGAUUGAGCUGUACUGGUAAACUAGGUUCAGAUUUAGCUGUACAUCUAAACUAGGUUCAGAUUUAGCUGUACAGGUAAACUAGGUUCAGAUUGAGCUGUACUGGUAAACUAGGUUCAGAUUUAGCUGUACAUCUAAACUAGGUUCAGAUUUAGCUGUACAGGAAAACUAGGUUCAGAUUGAGCUGUACAGGUAAACUCGGUUCAGAUUUAGCUGUACAGGUAAACUAGGUUCAGAUUUAGCUGUACAGGUAAACUAGGUUCAGUUUUAGCUGUACAGGUAAACUCGGUUCAGAUUUAGCUGUACAGGAAAACUAGGUUCAGAUUUAGCUGUACAGGUAAACUAGGUUCAGAUUGAGCUGUACAGGUAAACUCGGUUCAGAUUGAGCUGUACAGGUAAACUAGAGCUGGUAAAAAAGGAUUAAACCCUAAUAUGAUGUUAAAACAUUGUGGUUUAAGCCCUAGAUUAGGGUUUGUAGAGCCUAAAUAAUUCACAAUGAAAUUAUGUAAAGUAACAUAAAAAAUGAUAGGUUAGAAAAACAUAAUAUUGCCAGGACGAAUCCAUGAGGACAAGAGUUAGGUUCAAUCAGGUAAGAGUUAACCUAGCUUGUAGAUAAAGGUGUAUUAUUACUCUUAAAAAUGUAUUUGUAAAAAUGUAUUUUGUUCUUUUAUUUUGUUGUACAGUUAUAUUUUUUAAAUAUUUUUUUUCUUAUUUUUAUUUUAUUUUACAUAAAUGAUUUAAAUAUUUUGUUAUCUCUAAAUUAAAUAUAAUUUAAAAUCUUCAAUAAUUAAUUUUGAAAGAUAGGGGUUGAAAUAUGGAUGUUAAACAGCUGUACUUUAAGACAUUAUUGCGUUAAUAACAACCAUUUUCAAAUGUGAGUUAGUAUCAUGUUAUGGGCAAAGGACAUAACAUAUCAUAUUAUGUUAAAUGCCAGUUAUGGGGAUAAAUACCUGCCCAAAUUAUUAUGAAUAUAACCAUAUAUUUGUUCUUGUGUUUUGGCACAUAUCUAUCUUCAUAACUUGAGGAAAGAUGUCAGUUGUGCAGAAAAUUUGCAGGAAAUGUGCAGGAAAUGCAGGAUAUGCAGAUGAGGAUGAGGGUUUUGUUAGUCUUCCAGGUACAGUUUGCUCUUCAUUGACAUCCUCCUGCAGGGUCAUACUACGGGACAGACAGUAUUGUACUGUAGUAGAGGUCUUAGUGAUGGAUAGAGCAGGGGGAGAGAGAGAGAGAGAAAAGAUACAGAGACAUUUGUAAAACGGUGCAGAUGGAUUUUCCCCCUCCUUCAUAAUUAGAAGUGUUUCAUUUAUUGUUAUAUAAUUUAAUCUUUAUAAUAGCUAGCGACCUCCUGUGGCCAAAAUACGGUACUGGUUCUGGUCUUGCCUCUCUACUUGGGAGUGAUAGGCAGAAUUAGAAAGAAGCUAAUGUAUUCUCUCUCUUCCUCGUCUCUCCUGUUCCUCUCGUCCAUGUUCCGAUAGAAGUAAACUGUUCCUCAUUCUGUAUUCCGUAUCACCGUGGCACCACUACUGUUCUCCGUGCCCAUAUGACGUGUGUAACACGUCCGUGUCCAUGCUAUAUCAACGUGCUCUGGAUGUUAAUAACAAAGUGCUCAUGUGAUCAUACUUCAAAUGUCUCCUUUGUCUUUUGUUUCUGUCACAAAAUGAUUUUCAUUUAUACAAAUGACUUGUGCCCCUCAUACGUGUUUGCGUCUCUAUAUGGCCACUAGAUGGGGCCAUUGUUCCACAUUCCUAAUUUGGAUACACCAGGUUCAAGGGCUUUACUGACCUGUGGUUCUGGAAGUUCACAUGCUGUCGGGCUGGAAACUUCUGUGGGACUUUAGGUUUACAUUACUGUUGAUGGAUUUGAAAGCUGCAACACAAGGACCUGGAAGGGAAGUGGUUGAAAACAGUAUCCACACUGUUUACUUGGUUCCACUUCUUUAAACUCUUUAAACUCUCUUUGACUUGUGUCGAAUGUAUUACUUUUUAAUUUAACCUUUAUUAAUCCAGGUAGUCUCAUUAACGAUGUAUUCAUCC
ensembl:lncRNA